rnacentral:rRNA from 1 species
GGGGGGGGGGGGGGGGGGGGGGGGGGGAGGGGGGGCGGGGGGGGGGGCGCGGGGGGGGGGGGGGGCUCGGGGGGGGAACGGGUGGGGGGGGGGUGAGGAACGGGCCCUUGAGUUUGGGAUCACUUCAGGAAACUGUGUCUGGUGCCGGAGAGGGGCUCCGGCUGCAUGUGGGUGGUUGGCAAUUUUCGGCGGUUUGGGAUGGCCUCGCGGCUUAUCAGCUUGUUGGUGGGGUAGUGGCUUACCAAGGCUUUGACGGGUAGCCGGCCUGAGAGGGUGACCGGCCACAUUGGGACUGAGAUACGGCCCAGACUCCUACGGGAGGCAGCAGUGGGGAAUAUUGCACAAUGGGCGGAAGCCUGAUGCAGCAACGCCGCGUGCGGGAUGACGGCCUUCGGGUUGUAAACCGCUUUCGCCUGUGACGAAGCGUGAGUGACGGUAAUGGGUAAAGAAGCACCGGCUAACUACGUG